rnacentral:lncRNA from 1 species
CUUGUACUGAGUCAUUCUGAGGGAUUAAAUAAUGUUUGGAUGUGAUUUGUAGUUGCUUGUAUACUUCAACAGAAAAAAAUGACUUGUAACUUUUACUUUUAGAAUUGAAGUUAGAAAUAUCCUUUAAAGUUCAUCUGGACCUGCUCAGAGUUCUAAAGCAGUGACAAGAUGGUCUUGUACCAGUGAAGAUCUGUACCAGUGGCAAUAGCCUGUUUCCUCCCAAAAUCCUUCAGUAUAAGACUGUAAAGAGCAUUAGUAGAAAGAAGAAUACCUAAUUUCUACUCGCUGAUGUAAUCUUCAUCUUCAUGUGAAGAGCACAAAGAUGACUUCGUGUUGCCACAAGAGUGUUCCCAUCACAUCUCUCAAGGGAUGAUAAAGGUCAGUUGUACUCACCCCGAUUUAUAUUAUUUUUGGCUUCCUCCAUAAACCAAAACUGAAACACUAUUGAUGUGGUAUUAUAAAAGAAAAUACAUACACUCGGGAAAAUAUUAGCAAAUUGGAAAUUCCCAACAUAUUGCAAUAUGUUUAAAAGCCUCACUAGAGACUCAUCUGGCAUUCAUGUUGUUAUGAUUUGCUUUCAUGUUCUUGUUUUCUAUUCAUCUUCUAUUGAUCAAUUGGCAUUUCCCAGUCAUUGAAAGGCCUUGUUCCUGCUCCUGCUCGAAGCAUGAGAAGAAAGCAAACAGCAAUUUACCGUUCUUCUUGUUCUUCUACCUAUUAGAAGAAUAUCUCUGGCUUAAAAUUAAGAAGAGAGAUCUGGGAGAAAAAGCAACGUAUGAACUAGGAAGACCAUUACCUAACACCUCCAUGGAUCCAGACUCUCUCCCCAAGUGGAACAUUGUCGUGGAUGGUGUGCAUACCACCUGGACAACUACCUGACCACCUUCCAUCCAGUCGGCUCCUCCGUGACCCAUCCUGAUCACUAUCAGAGGUUUGACGUGAAGGCUUUUGCCUUUGUAUCGGAAGCCCACAUGCUCUCUGGGAUGGUCUACUUCCACUGCAGUGUCUGAAUCUGCAAUCGACUCUCUCCUGACUCCCCUCUGUGUUCUGUGACCUGCCCUGUAUCAUCUAGGCACAAGCGAGCCACAGGGACCAAUGAAGCAAAGACAAUGACAGUCAGUCUCCUGGGACCCAUUCUCCUGUUGUCAGAUGACUCCUCAUUCAGAGGUGUCGACCCAUCUGAUCUGAGGCUGUUAAAAGCAAGUGGGAGCCGUGGGGAGAAGAGUAGGAGUGAAACCAGGGAGGAGGCAGGCUCACAGGAUGUUACUGACACCAAAGGGCACAAGACUACUGGGGAUGUUGCUUCCAAAGCUGUGGCUGCUGUGGCCACCUUAGCUGGCAUGGUGGCAACUCUAGGCUUCAUCUGCUACCUGUGCAAGAAAAGGAUUGUGUCAAAUCACUAAUUGGACUUAUAAAUAAAGCAGUCAAAAAAGAAACAGAAAAUACUGUUUCUCUCUUCCUUCCUUUAUGCCUCCUUAUGCAAUGUUUUUCCUGGUCUUCAGGAGAAUCAUGUUUUGCUGCAAGACAAAUAAAUGCAGACUGAGGGAUGAUUGCUCUACGUGCAGCAUUUUAUUAUGAAAAACCGUUUUUUUUGCUUUGCGUAACAGAAAUGCAUUGAUUACAGUGAUAAAGAUACUUUGUGUGUUAAUUUGGAAAAUAUUUUUGGUUGAUUUCUGUGAAAUGUUUCUUUUCACAGGAGUUAUAAUAAGGAGUUAUAAUAAUCUUGACUCAUAAUUAUACAUAAAAUAAGUUCAUAUUUAUUCCACUUUUUUUUUUGAGACGGAGUCUCACUCUGUCACCCAGGCUGGAGUACAAUGACACAAUCUCAGCUGACUGCAACCUCUGCCUCCUGGGCUCAAGCGAUUAUCCUGCCUCACUCUCCUCCCAAGUAGCUGGAAUUACAGGCUCCCACCACCACACCUGGAUAAAUUUUUUUUUUUUUUUAAGUAGAAAUGGGUUUCACCAUGUUGGCCAGGCUGGUCUCAAACUUCUGACCUCAAUUGAUCUACCCACCUUAGCCUCCCAAAGUGCUGAGAUUAUAGGCGUGAGCCACCUCACCUGGUCCUCCACAUUUUAAUACAUCAUUUCUCAAGACUAACAUUUAAAAGAAAGAAGCUAAUAUUUAUUGAAUCCUUAGUACAUGCCAGAUAUUUUUUCGACUGAUAUCUCAUUUAAUCUGCUCUCUGAUGUGACAAGUGUUCUCUUUUCCCCACCUUCGCCAAGUUCACAAGCCAGAGGUUUAGUGGGUCCCACCUGUCUAGCUUGUGUCUACAGGAAUGUCCACA